rnacentral:rRNA from 1 species
AACGUAGGUGGCAAGCGUUUAUCCGGAAUUACUGGGCGUAAAGGGUGUGCAGGCGGGGAAGCAAGUGGUGUAUGAAAUCUCCCAGCUUAACUGGGAUAGGUUAUGCCAGACUGCUUUUCUAGAGGACGAGAGAGGAGAGUGGAAUUCCCGGUGUAGCGGUGAAAUUCGUAGAGAUCGGGAGGAACACCAGUGGCGAAGGCGGCGCUCUGGACCGAGACUGACGCUGAGGCGCGAAAAGGCGUGGGGGAGCAAACAGG